ACGAAGGUGGCAAGCGUUGUUCGGAUUCACUGGGCGUACAGGGAGCGUAGGCGGUUGGGUAAGCCCUCCGUGAAAUCUCCGGGCCUAACCCGGAAAGUGCAGAGGGGACUGCUUGGCUAGAGGAUGGGAGAGGAGCGCGGAAUUCCCGGUGUAGCGGUGAAAUGCGUAGAGAUCGGGAGGAAGGCCGGUGGCGAAGGCGGCGCUCUGGAACGUACCUGACGCUGAGACACGAAAGCGUGGGGAGCAAACAGGA
rnacentral:rRNA from 1 species